rnacentral:rRNA from 1 species
AUCUAGCCAUGGGCAGGUUGAAGGUUGGGUAACACUAACUGGAGGACCGAACCGACUAAUGUUGAAAAAUUAGCGGAUGACCUGUGGCUGGGGGUGAAAGGCCAAUCAAACCGGGAGAUAGCUGGUUCUCCCCGAAAGCUAUUUAGGUAGCGCCUCGUGAAUUCAUCUCCGGGGGUAGAGCACUGUUUCGGCUAGGGGGCCAUCCCGGCUUACCAACCCGAUGCAAACUGCGAAUACCGGAGAAUGUUAUCACGGGAGACACACGGCGGGUGCUAACGUCCGUCGUGAAGAGGGAAACAACCCAGACCGCCAGCUAAGGUCCCAAAGUCAUGGUUAAGUGGGAAACGAUGUGGGAAGGCCCAGACAGCCAGGAUGUUGGCUUAGAAGCAGCCAUCAUUUAAAGAAAGCGUAAUAGCUCACUGGUCGAGUCGGCCUGCGCGGAAGAUGUAACGGGGCUAAACCAUGCACCGAAGCUGCGGCAGCGAACGUAUCACC